rnacentral:rRNA from 1 species
CCUACGGGUGGCAGCAGUGGGGGAUAUUGGACAAUGGGGGAAACCCUGAUCCAGCGACGCCGCGUGAGUGAAGAAGUAUCUCGGUAUGUAAAGCUCUUUUAGCAGGGAAGAAAGAAAUGACGGUACCUGACCAAGAAGCCCCGGCUAACUACGUGCCAGCAGCCGCGGGAAUACGUAGGGGGCAAGCGUUAUCCGGAAUUACUGGGUGUAAAGGGAGCGUAGACGGUGAUGCAAGUCUGGAGUGAAAGGCGGGGGCCCAACCCCCGGACUGCUCUGGAAACUGUGUAACUUGAGUGCAGGAGAGGUAAGCGGAAUUCGUGGUGUAGCGGUGAAAUGCGUAGAUAUUAGGAGGAACACCAGUGGCGAAGGCAGCUUACUGGACUGUAACUGACGUUGAGGCUCGAAAGCGUGGGGAGCAAACAGGAUUAGAUACCCCAGUAGUC